rnacentral:rRNA from 1 species
UAAUUGGGCGUUAAGUUGCAGGGUAUAGACCCGAAACCCGGUGAUCUAGCCAUGGGCAGGUUGAAGGUUGGGUAACACUAACUGGAGGACCGAACCGACUAAUGUUGAAAAAUUAGCGGAUGACCUGUGGCUGGGGGUGAAAGGCCAAUCAAACCGGGAGAUAGCUGGUUCUCCCCGAAAGCUAUUUAGGUAGCGCCUCGUGAAUUCAUCUCCGGGGGUAGAGCACUGUUUCGGCUAGGGGGCCAUCCCGGCUUACCAACCCGAUGCAAACUGCGAAUACCGGAGAAUGUUAUCACGGGAGACACACGGCGGGUGCUAACGUCCGUCGUGAAGAGGGAAACAACCCAGACCGCCAGCUAAGGUCCCAAAGUCAUGGUUAAGUGGGAAACGAUGUGGGAAGGCCCAGACAGCCAGGAUGUUGGCUUAGAAGCAGCCAUCAUUUAAAGAAAGCGUAAUAGCUCACUGGUCGAGUCGGCCUGCGCGGAAGAUGUAACGGGGCUAAACCAUG